GACGAACGCUGGCGGCGUGCUUAACACAUGCAAGUCGAACGGAAAGGCCCUGCUUUUGUGGGGUGCUCGAGUGGCGAACGGGUGAGUAACACGUGAGUAACCUGCCCUUGACUUUGGGAUAACUUCAGGAAACUGGGGCUAAUACCGGAUAGGAGCUCCUGCUGCAUGGUGGGGGUUGGAAAGUUUCGGCGGUUGGGGAUGGACUCGCGGCUUAUCAGCUUGUUGGUGGGGUAGUGGCUUACCAAGGCUUUGACGGGUAGCCGGCCUGAGAGGGUGUCCGGCCACAUCGGGACUGAGAUACGGCCCAGACUCCUACGGGAGGCAGCAGUGGGGAAGAUUGCACAACGGGCGGAAGCCUGAUGCAGCAACGCCGCGUGCGGGAUGACGGCCUUCGGGUUGUAAACCGCUUUCGCCUGUGACGAAGCGUGAGUGACGGUAAUGGGUAAAGAAGCACCGGCUAACUACGUG
rnacentral:rRNA from 1 species